rnacentral:rRNA from 1 species
UAAAGGGUGACACCGGCUACGGAUGGCCAUGCGGCGCAUUAGCUGGUUGGCGGGGUAACGGCCCACCAAGGCGACGAUGCGUAGGGGUUCUGAGAGGAAGGUCCCCCACACUGGUACUGAGACACGGACCAGACUCCUACGGGAGGCAGCAGUGAGGAAUAUUGGUCAAUGGGCGCGAGCCUGAACCAGCCAAGUCGCGUGAGGGAAGACGGUCCUAUGGAUUGUAAACCUCUUUUGUCGGGGAGCAAAAGACGCCACGCGUGGCGUUCCGAGAGUACCCGAAGAAAAAGCAUCGGCUAACUCCGUGCCAGCAGCCGCGGUAAUACGGAGGAUGCGAGCGUUAUCCGGAUUUAUUGGGUUUAAAGGGUGCGCAGGCGGAAGAUCAAGUCAGCGGUAAAAUUGAGAGGCUCAACCUCUUCGAGCCGUUGAAACUGGUUUUCUUGAGUGAGCGAGAAGUAUGCGGAAUGCGUGGUGUAGCGGUGAAAUGCAUAGAUAUCACGCAGAACUCCGAUUGCGAAGGCAGCAUACCGGCGCUCAACUGACGCUCAUGCACGAAAGUGUGGGUAUCGAACAGGAUUAGAUACCCUGGUAGUCCACACAGUAAACGAUGAAUACUAAUUGUUCGGGGAGAAUGAUCCCUGA